rnacentral:rRNA from 2 species
GACGAACGCUGGCGGCGUGCCUAAUACAUGCAAGUCGAACGCUUCUUUUUCCACCGGAGCUUGCUCCACCGGAAAAAGAGGAGUGGCGAACGGGUGAGUAACACGUGGGUAACCUGCCCAUCAGAAGGGGAUAACACUUGGAAACAGGUGCUAAUACCGUAUAACAAUCGAAACCGCAUGGUUUUGAUUUGAAAGGCGCUUUCGGGUGUCGCUGAUGGAUGGACCCGCGGUGCAUUAGCUAGUUGGUGAGGUAACGGCUCACCAAGGCGACGAUGCAUAGCCGACCUGAGAGGGUGAUCGGCCACAUUGGGACUGAGACACGGCCCAAACUCCUACGGGAGGCAGCAGUAGGGAAUCUUCGGCAAUGGACGAAAGUCUGACCGAGCAACGCCGCGUGAGUGAAGAAGGUUUUCGGAUCGUAAAACUCUGUUGUUAGAGAAGAACAAGGAUGAGAGUAACUGUUCAUCCCUUGACGGUAUCUAACCAGAAAGCCACGGCUAACUACGUGCCAGCAGCCGCGGUAAUACGUAGGUGGCAAGCGUUGUCCGGAUUUAUUGGGCGUAAAGCGAGCGCAGGCGGUUUCUUAAGUCUGAUGUGAAAGCCCCCGGCUCAACCGGGGAGGGUCAUUGGAAACUGGGAGACUUGAGUGCAGAAGAGGAGAGUGGAAUUCCAUGUGUAGCGGUGAAAUGCGUAGAUAUAUGGAGGAACACCAGUGGCGAAGGCGGCUCUCUGGUCUGUAACUGACGCUGAGGCUCGAAAGCGUGGGGAGCAAACAGGAUUAGAUACCCUGGUAGUCCACGCCGUAAACGAUGAGUGCUAAGUGUUGGAGGGUUUCCGCCCUUCAGUGCUGCAGCUAACGCAUUAAGCACUCCGCCUGGGGAGUACGACCGCAAGGUUGAAACUCAAAGGAAUUGACGGGGGCCCGCACAAGCGGUGGAGCAUGUGGUUUAAUUCGAAGCAACGCGAAGAACCUUACCAGGUCUUGACAUCCUUUGACCACUCUAGAGAUAGAGCUUCCCCUUCGGGGGCAAAGUGACAGGUGGUGCAUGGUUGUCGUCAGCUCGUGUCGUGAGAUGUUGGGUUAAGUCCCGCAACGAGCGCAACCCUUAUUGUUAGUUGCCAUCAUUUAGUUGGGCACUCUAGCAAGACUGCCGGUGACAAACCGGAGGAAGGUGGGGAUGACGUCAAAUCAUCAUGCCCCUUAUGACCUGGGCUACACACGUGCUACAAUGGGAAGUACAACGAGUCGCAAAGUCGCGAGGCUAAGCUAAUCUCUUAAAGCUUCUCUCAGUUCGGAUUGUAGGCUGCAACUCGCCUACAUGAAGCCGGAAUCGCUAGUAAUCGCGGAUCAGCACGCCGCGGUGAAUACGUUCCCGGGCCUUGUACACACCGCCCGUCACACCACGAGAGUUUGUAACACCCGAAGUCGGUGAGGUAACCUUUUGGAGCCAGCCGCCUAAGGUGGGAUAGAUGAUUGGGGUG